UAAUACGUAGGGGGCGAGCGUUGUCCGGAUUUACUGGGCGUAAAGGGUGAGUAGGCGGUUGUAUAUGUCAGGUGUAAAAGGCUAUGGCUUAACCAUGGUUAGCACUUGAAACUGUACAACUUGAGUGCAGGAGAGGUAAGUGGAAUUCCUAGUGUAGCGGUGAAAUGCGUAGAUAUUAGGAGGAACACCAGUGGCGAAGGCGACUUACUGGACUGUAACUGACGCUGAGUCACGAAAGCGUGGGUAGCAAACAGGAUUAGAUACCCUGGUAGUCCACGCUGUAAACGAUGAGUGCUAGGUGUUGGGUAGCGAUACUCAGUGCCGCAGUAAACACAAU
rnacentral:rRNA from 1 species